UACGGGGGGGAGCAAGCGUUGUUCGGAUUUACUGGGCGUAAAGGGCGCGUAGGCGGCCAGCACAAGUCAGUUGUGAAAUCUCCGAGCUUAACUCGGAAAGGUCAACUGAUACUGUGCGGCUAGAGUGCGGAAGGGGCAACUGGAAUUCUUGGUGUAGCGGUGAAAUGCGUAGAUAUCAAGAGGAACACCUGCGGCGAAGGCGGGUUGCUGGGCCGACACGUGACGCUGAGGCGCGAAAGCUAGGGGAGCGAACGGG
rnacentral:rRNA from 1 species